rnacentral:tRNA from 5 species
GGAGAUGUACCCAAGUGGCUGAAGGGUCCGCACUCGAAAUGCGGUAGGUCGGGCAACCGAUGCGAGGGUUCAAAUCCCUCCAUCUCCG